GAAUCCAACUGCAACACCGGACACAAACUGGCUACACAUGGAUUUUAACUGUAGCUUAGGACAAAACAGAAAAAUGGGAAUUAACAGAUACAAUGUAACUGAACAAAUAAAACAGUCUUUAAAAUGUAUACUGAUGGAGUGGGAAUUUCUGGUUCCAUCAAUUGGUAAACAUGAACCUAAAAUGACAUAUGCUCCCCAACAGGUUCUCUUUGGUUCAUUCCUCUUGGCUUUGCUCCUGCUACCUCUUGCCUCUUCCUGUGGAAGCACAAGACCAAUGGAUGAGAUUAAGACAGAUUACAUGUGUAUUAUUAAGCCCCUUCUUAAAAGUAUCGAUGAAAACAUUACUAACCUGUUAAAGGACCAACCAUGUGAGGAAAUGAAGAAAAAGUAUACGUGUAACCCAAACAAUGAGACACAUGGCAUUCACAAAAUGGUUUGCAGUAUUCCAAUUCAAACCCUAAAGAGAGCAAUGAGCACAAUUAAAUGUGACUUGUGGAAACUCAUGAGACAUACAACAGUAUCACUGAACUGUACCUGUUCCUUAACUGAGUUCAACUGUACACAGCCUCAUCACCUGAAGGAACCGAAAGGAAAGCAAAGACUUUGCAGAAUCCGCAGUAUCCUCAGAGAAAUAGAGAAAUGCUACAUGGUAUUAAAUGACAGGAACAGUUAGCAGAAGGAAGAUACUUUGGGUAGUGAUGAUGAACAUUCUGCUCCAGUGGAGGACUCUGGGACCAUUGGAAUACUUUUUCCACAGCAGAUGCUCCUUUAGGAUAGGCACACCAUACCUCCUCAUGUCUGAAAGAUUGGUCCUGUGCAGGACGCCCUUCACAAUGGGCCACUCUGUCACAUUACAUGGACUAGCAUUUUCUGUGGUUUUCUGUGCCUCUCAUGACAGUGACUUUUUGGGAGGGGAGCGUGUCUAUGUUCCCACAGCUCUAUGUUCCCACAGCCCUAUGUUCCCACAGCUCUAUGUUCAGUUGACUUCACACUCAGCAGGCUGCUUGCAUGGGACCUGAAGAAAUCCAGUGUAUGUUUGUGCAAUUUAGACACAGUACACGUUCAAUUAUCUAUAAGUUUUUAAUGAACAAGCAAACAAGCGAAAUAAUAAAAAAAAAAAAACACUAUUUAUGCAGUUCACUUAAAACUGGAAAGGGCUCUACAUCAGUACUUUUCAAUCUUUUAUGUGCCAGGAACAGGCAUCUGCAAGUGCUGUCCUUUGAGGACUAUUUUGACAUCUAAAUAUAUAAAGUUCAGUUUACACGAUCAAUAAUAAACAUCCAUCCAUCCAUUAUCCUAACCCGCUUAUCCUGAACAGGGUCGCAGGGGGGCUGGAGCCUAUCCCAGCAUACAUUGGGCGAAAGGCAGGAAUACACCCUGGACAGGUCGCCAGUCCAUCGCAGGGCACACACACCAUUCACUCACACACUCAUACCUACGGGCAAUUUAGACUCUCCAAUCAGCCUAUCCUGCAUGUCUUUGGACUGUGGGAGGAAACCGGAGUACCCGGAGGAAACCCACGCAGACACGGGGAGAACAUGCAAACUCCGCACAGAGAGGCCCCGGCCGACGGGGAUUCGAACCCAGGACCUCCUUGCUGUGAGGCGGCAGUGCUACCCACUGCACCAUCCGUGCCGCCCCAAUAAUAAACAUUUAAUUUUGAAAAAAAAUUUAAUAUUAGAAAUGUGGGAACAUAGGGCUGUGGGAACAUAGGGAUGACCCCUUUGGGAGCAUACGGUUGACAACUGCAUGUAAGCAUGACCAUGAGAUGUUUUGUGACUUCUAAAGCUUGAGGCAAAAUUCAAAUGGUUUCAAAUGCUGUUUGCUUUGGAUACUAGUGAGAUUGAAGUCUGCAAUUCGAUACAGGACAAUUUGGUUACAGCAUGUUCAGAAUGUGGGAAUUGCAGGCAGCUAUGUUGUCUUUGCAGGUGAAAAUUACACAAAUAUUGUAUUUUAGGAACUUGACUUAUUUUGUGAAAGCAGAUCCAUUUCUGAAACUUAAGCUCAGUAAUUAAUCAUUUUCUACGCCUUGAUCCAGCUAGCUGGGUCUGAAAGUAAAUGUCCUGCAACACGCUUUAGUUAAUGUACUUAUGUUAAAAAUAUAUGAUCUUUUUUAUUCAAUGGAAAUGUGUUUAUAUCACCUUAUCUGAAAUAAUAAUCUUGUACAGUAUAAUGCCUCAACAAGCAACCAAACACAGGCAAAUUGUGCAGUGCAUACUUUAUGCCAAACAAUGUCUUGGAAACUCUGUAAACAAAGCUCUCUCUCACUCUCUCUCUCUCUCUCUCUCUCUCUCUCUCUCUCUCUCAGAGUAUAGAUGGUGAGGGUGAGACUGCAUGAGCGUGCAUUACUAACUCUAAGGAUGCGACUGGUGCAAUGGUUUCAUUUCUGCAACAGCAAACCUUGGACAUCAUAACCAACCAGGAACCAAGGAGAAACUGUGUGGAGCUCUGAUAUUCAGAACCAUUUCCGAUGACAACAAAUGUGUCAUGAUAAAAAUUUGAUUGGGAAGUACAGUACUGUGCAAAAGUCUUAGGCACCCUAGACUUUAUUAUAUAUAUGUUUAUUUUUGUGUAUGUGUUGGCAAAAAAGAACACAUUUGAGAUUUCCAAAUAUUCAUUCCAAAAGAUUAAAUUUUUUUGAAAUAACAUAUUACUGUAAGCAAUUGACUACUUUUUACAUAAAAACUUGAUCAAGGCUGUCUGAGAUCAGAAGCAAGGAGCCAACCAAAGUCUGCAGAAGAACUGUGGCAAGUUCUCCAUCAUACUUGGAACAACCUCCCUGCUGAUUGUCUGAGCCAACGCUGUCCUGCAGUUCUAUAUUCCAGAGACGUGAUGCAAUGUCAUUACUAGGAAACGGUAGCUCUCCAAUCCAGGUCCAAUCAGUUGUAAAACAAGUCCAAGAAGCGAAAGAUCCCACGACAGCAAGUUCUUCAGAAAAUAUGACUUUAUUGUGGCACGUGCACAACAGCCAGUUCAAAUCCUCAGAUUUUCAACCUUGUAUAUCAGACUAAACUCUCAUUUUAUGCACAGUCCUUAUCUCAACACAACCAAUAGGUUUCUUGAAAACCAUCAUAUGACUGGGCUAUGUUACAGGUAUUUACUUUUAAGUCCUGAAACCAUUGUGGCGAAUUGCCCCAUUGAUUUCCAAAACAAAAAACUUAACUUUGGAUUACACAUGGGUCACUUAUGCGUUUCUAACAACAAUAUUUAUCAGUAAUAAGUCAUAGAGAGUAUACAGAUGUACUGAACAGCAGUCAAAUCAAAAUCAUAGAAAUGAUAUGAUAGACAUCAGUGAAAAUAUAAAACAUAAGUCAUAGAAAGUAUACAGACAUACUGAACAGCAGUAAAAUCAUAGAAAAUAUAUAAUAAACAUCAGUGAAAUCAUUGACUAUAUAAUACUACAUAUCUGAUUACUACUUUCUUCGAAGUGAAUAAACGUAAUUCUUUAA